UACAGAGGGUGCGAGCGUUAAUCGGAAUUACUGGGCGUAAAGCGUGCGUAGACGGCUAUCUAAGUCGGGUGUGAAAGCCCCGGGCUCAACCUGGGAAUUGCAUUCGAGACUGAAUAGCUAGGGUACGGUAGAGGGAAGUGGAAUUUCCGGUGUAGCGGUGAAAUGCGUAGAUAUCGGGAGGAACACCUAUGGCGAAGGCAGCUCGCUGGGACGUUACUGACGCUGAGACGCGAAAGCGUGGGGAGCAAACAGG
rnacentral:rRNA from 1 species